UGUAACGCUCUAAUUGCAACUGCUACAUUCAAACAAGUGGGCUGAAAGAUCCAUCUUACCCAUCGUGGGCAGAGACAAGCUGCUUUCCCUCUUUUCUGACCAUGUGGGCAAGAGGAGACUGAACACAGGUGAAGGGAUGAAGAAUGGAAUGGAGGCAGGAGACUUAUUCUUUUUCCUUCUCUCCCUCCUGCCAGUGGUUUUUCUUUAAUCGGUGAGUGAUACUGGACGUCAGCAUCAAAAUGGGCAAUGAGAACAGUAGUGCAGAAAAUCAGUCAGAAGUUCCCAAUGUGAAUAAAGUCAUCCUUAUACCACCAAGCCAAGGAACACAGCAGGUAGUGGAUGAUGAAACUCAUUUGCAUGGUUUCCAUUUCAAAAUG